rnacentral:miRNA from 1 species
UUUCCUGUUGAGUCAUUGUCAAUGUCAUAUUCUUAACUACAGGGAAGUUUUUCAUUGUGUAUGGGUGUGUGUAUGCAAGCACAUGAGUGUGUGCAUGUAUCUGUGUCUGUUU